UGCANGUCGANGGGAAUCUUCGGAUUCUAGUGGCGGACGGGUGAGUAACGCGUAAGAAUCUAACUUCAGGACGGGGACAACAGUUGGAAACGACUGCUAAUACCCGAUGUGCCGAAAGGUGAAACCUAAUUGGCCUGAAGAAGAGCUUGCGUCUGAUUAGCUAGUUGGUGGGGUAAAGGCCUACCAAGGCGACGAUCAGUAGCUGGUCUGAGAGGAUGAGCAGCCACACUGGGACUGAGACACGGCCCAGACUCCUACGGGAGGCAGCAGUGGGGAAUUUUCCGCAAUGGGCGAAAGCCUGACGGAGCAACGCCGCGUGAGGGAGGAAGGUCUUUGGAUUGUAAACCUCUUUUCUCAAGGAAGAAGUUCUGACGGUACUUGAGGAAUCAGCCUCGGCUAACUCCGUGCCAGCAGCCGCGGUAAUACGGGGGAGGCAAGCGUUAUCCGGAAUUAUUGGGCGUAAAGCGUCCGCAGGUGGUCAGCCAAGUCUGCCGUCAAAUCAGGUUGCUUAACGACCUAAAGGCGGUGGAAACUGGCAGACUAGAGAGCAGUAGGGGUAGCAGGAAUUCCCAGUGUAGCGGUGAAAUGCGUAGAGAUUGGGAAGAACAUCGGUGGCGAAAGCGUGCUACUGGGCUGUAUCUGACACUCAGGGACGAAAGCUAGGGGAGCGAAAGGGAUUAGAUACCCCUGUAGUCCUAGCCGUAAACGAUGGAUACUAGGCGUGGCUUGUAUCGACCCGAGCCGUGCCGAAGCUAACGCGUUAAGUAUCCCGCCUGGGGAGUACGCACGCAAGUGUGAAACUCAAAGGAAUUGACGAGGGCCCGCACAAGCGGNGGAGUAUGUGGUUUAAUUUCGAUGCAACGCGNA
rnacentral:rRNA from 1 species